CGCUGAGAAGCUUUUACAGCAUUAACCUUUUAAGUUGAAGAAGAAACAAACUUUCCUCAGCGA
rnacentral:tRNA from 1 species